AUUGACAAAACACUACAUGGUCUCUUCUGUUAGGUUAUAAUGAAAUUAUAACAGAUCAUUUGUUGGCUCUGACUUCAUUGUGUACGACACUGUGGGAUGGAAAAAGCAUUGAUUUGUUUUAAAUCAGAGUAGUCUAAGAGCAUCAUAGGUGGGACAGUUCAGCUGGAUGCUUGUCUCAUACACCAAAAAUAAAAAACGGCCUUAAUUUGACUUUGACUUUCUCUUUGAUACAUGGAAAAUGCAGCAAAACUCCAACACAUGACGCUCCCGGUUGUUUGUGACCCAGAUUUUGAGGAGAACUGAGCUCUAAAGACAGUGAGGACUGGAGGAGUGGAGACAUGUUGAUAAGCUACAAUAAAAA